CUCGGUCGAUCUUCGAGCCGAAGAUGCGGCGGGGGUGGAAGAUGGCCAUGUCUGGGGGUCUGCGGUGCUGCCGCCGGGUACUGUCCUGGUUGCCAGUGCUCGUUAUUGUCCUCGUCGUGCUCUGGUCCUACUAUGCCUACGUCUUUGAACUCUGCCUGGUGACUGUUUUGAGCCCAGCAGAAAAAGUUAUCUACCUCAUACUCUACCAUGCCAUCUUUGUAUUUUUUGCCUGGACCUACUGGAAGUCUAUCUUUACACUUCCACAGCAGCCAAACCAGAAGUUCCACUUGUCCUAUACGGACAAAGAGCGCUAUGAAAACGAAGAGAGACCUGAGGUCCAGAAGCAGAUUCUCAUUGAUAUGGCCAAGAAGCUACCAGUUUACACAAGAACCGGGAGCGGAGCUGUACGAUUCUGUGACCGGUGCCAUCUGAUCAAGCCAGACCGCUGCCACCACUGCUCUGUCUGUGCCAUGUGUGUUUUAAAAAUGGACCAUCACUGCCCUUGGGUUAAUAACUGCAUUGGAUUUUCCAACUACAAAUUCUUCCUUCAGUUCUUAGCUUAUUCUGUUCUCUACUGCCUGUAUAUUGCUACAACAGUCUUCAGCUACUUCAUCAAAUACUGGAGAGGAGAACUGCCCAGUGUUCGCUCUAAGUUCCAUGUCCUUUUUCUCCUCUUUGUGGCCUGCAUGUUUUUUGUCAGCCUUGUGAUUCUAUUUGGUUACCACUGUUGGCUUGUCAGCAGAAACAAAACUACCUUAGAGGCCUUUUGCACUCCAGUGUUUACCAAUGGCCCAGAAAAAAAUGGAUUCAAUCUUGGAAUCGUCAAAAAUAUCCAACAGGUGUUUGGAGAUAAUAAGAAGUUCUGGCUAAUACCUGUUGGGUCCAGCCCUGGUGAUGGACACUCUUUCCCUAUGAGGUCUAUGAAUGAAUCACAGAACCCACUGCUAGCAAAUGAAGAACCCUGGGAAGAUAAUGAGGAUGAUAAUCGAGAUUAUCCAGAAGAUACACCAUCUCUUGCUCUAGAAACUGAAACAUAGAAGUUUUCACAUUCCCUCCAUCUUUUAGGUUCUGCCUUCCCUUCUACACCUUGUCCCAGUUCUUUUGUCUCAGAGUGAAUGACCUCAGCAAAAGCAACGACUCAAGUCACACCUGCCUUUAUUAACUAACCCACUGACCCAUUAUCUCCCAUGAGACUUACAGAAUCCAAUGUUGGGAACCAUUCUAAUCUUCAAAACAAGUCAUCAUGUUGGAUUAAAAUCUUCAGAAAUUGAAAGCAUUUCAUCAAAUACUUGCUGUGCAGAUGUUUGAAUACUUUACAUAUAAUUUAAUACACUGAGUAAAUUCCAAUUUAGCAACAAUUAUUUUUAAACUAGUUUCUUUUUGUUUCUUACACUUUUCCAAAUCCAUGAAAGCAUAUAAAACAUAUAUCCUUACAUUCAUCUCAUCAGGCAAAAGGGAAUUUUAAAUAUUUGUUUUGAACACUAAUUCUCCCAGAAAGCCUAUCGUAUCUACAGGGUCUAUUUGGUAUUGCUGUUUGUGUGCAUGUGCUAUUAUGAACAUGUACUUUUCAGCAUCACUACACAAAAUUCUGCCAUAAUGUCAUAAAAAUUAAGGUUAAAAAAGCAGAAGCUUUUAAUGAAUCAUGCUUUUCCCCUAAAGAGAAAUUUAUAUAUUUGCUGAGCUUCAACCUUCCCCAUAUCAGAUAUCUAAAAUUUGAGAUAAAUAUUUGAUACACUGUGACCAAAGUCUUCAAAUCCAGAAUUUUCCUGAAAGAUCAAAUUAAAUCAGAUUAGAUUUUGACUUUUUAACAAGUAGUAAUUAAUGUUCUAAAGAUUUAAUGCCAGGCUGUGGUAAAAUUCUCCAAUUAUUUAUAUUAAUUACUGUCUAGUUUUAAUCUUUAUGUAUUACUUUUAAGAUGAAAGAAAAACUGUAUAAAUUACAGACUAUCAGAUUUAUAAAUGAUUUAAGGGUGACUUUCAGGUUUCAUUUUAGUACCAUUUAAAGGGAUAAAGUUUCAUAGCUGACAUUAGCUGAGGAUUAACAAAAGAGCUGUGUUUUCAUAGCAAGAAUUAAUGUACAGAUAGUGAUAACUGAACUGUAAUAUGUCAGUCCUGUUUUUAAGUUUUAGUUACAGCUCAAACAUAAUUUAUAUUCAUUUCCCCAUUUAUUUAAAAUCAGCCUUUCUUUCAGUCCCAGUACCUGUAUCAAUGAGAAUGAAGACUAGUGAUGCUUCUUUGUAGUAAUAAUACUUAAAAGAGUAUUGAUAUUUUUCACAUUUGAACCAGCGCUGUGGUGUCCAGCUGCUGAAAAUAAAACUCCCAACUCUUUCAGAGAUCAGUGGAAAUUACAGGCAUCUUACAGAUAUCAAAGAAUUGAGUCUCCAAUAGGAUAGUUUGAUUUACAAAUUAUCUUCCUGAAAUCUUUUUGAGAAAAAAAGAGUUAGUUGCCUGCCAUAGAUAAGUCAUUAUUAAGGUUCGAGGGCCACUGAGAAAGUGAGCAAUCCAUCUACUUAAAGCAGCAACAAAAUCUAUUUAUUUGGACCCCAUAGAUACUUUUGACAGAAAUGAGAAUUUUAGCAUAAAAUAUAUGAAUUUAGUUCAGCAUUUCACUUGAGAUGACACUAGACAUGACUAUAUUAAGACAAGAAAUAAGGGAUUGUGUCUCAAACUCAGAAGCUAAGGAACAGUCUAAAAGACUUUUAUCACUGGAUUUCAUGAUGAAAUCUCAUAUGUUAAAAUUGGAAGAUUUUCCUUCCAUUUUCCUUCUAAAACAGUUCUCUUGUUUAAGUUUCUAUUAAAAUCUUAUUUGACUAUCUGCCUGGUUUUUGAUCAAUAAGUUUUGUUUCCUCUUCCUAUACAAAUAUGUCUUUCUAUGAACAGAGGAAGAUUGCUUCCUCAAUAACCAGUGGGCUUCAAAGCAAUCUUCCUCUUUCCCAUCUGUCACCUUCUGCUAAGAGUUUAGGCAGAGCAGCUGCUAUUUAUGAUUCAAAGUCAAAGGCAUGAAGAACUUCUCUGAUGCAUAGAAUGUAUCAGUACUGAGUAUUGUCACAAAUCAGGUCCCAAAAGACAGUGUCAGCAAACUACAGAGAAGCCGUGGAAAGGUACAAGUCUGGGUAGCUAUAAUGUAAAAUUGAUUGUUUAAUGUCUUACAAACUUAUACUGCUUGGAGACUUGGAGAAAUAUAAAAUCUAUUCCUAUCUUAGCACUUUGAUCCUACUGCUUUAUAGAUUGAUAAUAUCCCUAUCCAUAGAUCAUUUCAAUUUUAACUACUGUGUAUAGCCAUCCAUCUGGUUAAUUAUUGAUCAAGAAGACAGAGAGCUCCAUUUAAUAAUAAGCAUGCCAUGAUCUGUCUCCUUGUCUUUCUUGUCAGUGGAAGCUUGUUCAAUAAUCUCUAUGGAUCUCAUUCCUUAAUUUAUGUUAAUCUUUUCUCCUAUUUGCAAUAAUGUACUCAUUGUUAAGAUCUUACAUUUGAAAGGUGCUGUGUAACUCCCUAGUGCUCUUAUAUAUCUUUAAUUGCAACACUGGGAUGAAAAGUUUAACCAUAAUAAUAUUUCUGAGUAAUAUGCUUUAGUCUUUCUUCCACUCUUUAAUUGCAGACUUUGCAUGGAUAACUUAGAGUACUUUGCUGUUUUUUGUUUUUGCUGUUGUUACUGUUUUAGAGUACUUUGUUAAUGUUACUCUAUUUGUUCCAACAAUGUCCUUGAAAAGAGAAAGAAUGGAAAUUAUUUAUCCUGUGGUAGAUCUGGAAAAAUUAAGGCUAAAAAAGAGAUGCAAUGCUAUCCAAAAGCACAUAGAUGUCCUUACAGUUACAGUGUCCAAUACACAACGAGUUGACUUCCUAGUACUGGAAUUACCGUGGAACAGCUUAUAAUACUGAUACUAGCAAAGAUAGGAUCACAUUACAAAGAGUCCAACUUUGUGCAAAACAUUGAAGUAUGAAAUUUAUACAACCCUUAUUUUUUAAUUCAAUAUGUGCCUCUUUUUCCCAUUGGCCUUGUGUGACACAUAAAUUUCACACUGUACAGCAUUGGCCAGUGCCAUAAUCCCUUGUAACACCAGAAAAUCCAAUCUCAGGACUGUUUUUGCCAAGACAACAAUGUGAUUCUCCAUGUUUCUGCCAAAUUGCUCAAACUCUAGUCAUUUCAAUUAACAGAGAUUCAAGCAAAGUCAUAGCAAGUGUGAAUAUCCAUUAUUGUAAUUCAGACCUGAAUUGUGGCAUAUACACAGGAAUACAAAUCAUUCAAAGCCUAUCUAUUUCACAUCACACUACAUAUUUAUAUAUGUUUACAUUCACAGCUGGGUAUGGUAGUGCAUGUCUAUAAUGCCUACAUUCUGGGAAGCUAUGACAGGAGUAUCUCAACUUCAAACCCAAUGUAGGCAGCUUGGUGACUUCAUGAUGCUUUGUCUCAAAAGUUAAAAUAUAAUAAAGGACUCAGUGUGAAGGCCCUGAGCUCAAACCCCAGCACUGCAAAAAUUAUCCCUCAUAUGUACAUGCACACACAAUUCUCAAGAGACCUCCCCAAGAGAUCUGAAUUUUCUCAAGCAGGAAGUAGUUUAAGGAGUUACUUUCUUUACUUUUUUAAAAACAAUGUCCAAGAAUCAUAGCACAUGAAAAAGACAUCCUUCACAUAUUUGAAAACUUCUGCUAUCAAAGUUGCUGAGACUUAGUUAAUUCAAGAGACAUAUUCAGAACACAGACAUGUAAAGAAUCUAACAAAAUCACCAAACACUUCCAUAAGUCCUGUGUUCUAAGAAAAUUCAUGAGCUCAAUCCACUCAGUAUGAAGUGACUGACAAGGUAUGAUACAUCUGCAUUUCUUUAAUCAUAGCUAUAAUGUAUCAUAUUAUAACUCUCUGUAUAUGGCUGUUAUGUAAUAUAAUAAUUAUUGCGUGGGUUCUAAAAGCAUGUGGCCCAUGACUUGUUUGCUUCUCCAAAAUGAUUAGGGCUGUGUCCUGCACAUUAAAUGUUUUCUUUGGAACAGCCUGGUACACAGCCAUUAGCAGAAUGAGUUAAAGAAGGCAAUAGAUUGCUAUUAGGAAAUAGCAGUUAAAAAAUAAAAUAGCAUGUAUUUGGGGAAUAAUUGUUUUUACCCUGCUGGUGAAAUCAGCGAAGGAACACAGCAGGAAAGCUGAGACCAGGUCUUGGUAAUAUACGAAAUGUAUUGAAAAGCUAGAAAAAGAAAAGCACUGAGAACCUCAGCAAUUUAACUCAUUGCCAAUUUGCUACAAAUCAUUUUUCCACCAAUCUGCUCAAAAGGCACUGUAUAUAGUGUUCUUAAAACCAUGUAUCUUGUUGCAGAAAUAUUGACAAAUGCUAGCCAGCAUUAUUUUCCUACAUUCUUUAUUAAAAGUAUGUGAAUAAAAUUGUUGUUCAUUUUCUGAUUAUGGUUUUGUUAAACAAUAUUAGCAAAGCCUAAAUUUUUGGCUUCUCUGAUGGAAGUUUAUGUACAUCUCAUUUCAUAUGAGUGUAGUUGAGUUUAUUCACUCUCAGGUUGUGGGUAUGUUUGAUAUGUAGACUCUUUUGAAACAUUUCAUCUUCUGAGCAUCCCCUUCUAUGUCUUCAGUAUUUCUUAUAUUCCUGCAAAAGUGUGAGUUGGGAAAUAAACAGUAAUGGCUUUUAGGUAGAAAACUGACUAGCCUAAUGACAGUUUAUCAUUUUCAGUCUCUGCUUCACUCUUCUGCCAUUGUGAUAAGUAAAAAUUAAAUGGAAUUUUCUUUAGGCAAUUAA